GACUCCGUCUCCCAUAAGGCACUGGGCCUUCUGCACCCGAACCCAAUAAUUAGAGGCCAUUUCACAUGGCGCCCACUCAGAGUUGUCAGGGCCCAAGAACAGGCUCCAGAUGUUGGCUGGAAAAAGGCGAGGACCAGCUGCCCGAGCUCUAAGGCCUGGGCGCUCUUUGGCGAGCCGCCCCUCCCCCGCCUCGGGCACCAUCAGAGAGAGAUCAGUGAAACAUCUAUGGGGAGCUGGAAGAUAAUUGAUGCAUCUUGGAGCCUCAUCACAGGGAAUGUCUUCUCUUCCGGUAACAACUCUCAGUACCAUACAAAGGAGUUCUGUGUCUAAUAAAGGGUCAGUUUGGAAGAAGCAUCUAUUAAUAUUUUCAGGGGUCCAUGGAUAUGAACAAGUCAAGCACCCAUGAAAAGUAGAAAGGAUUGGAAAAUUUGGGGAAUCAAAAGAUACGAAAGAAGAAUGGAGAACACCUUGAAUGAAUUCAAUAUAUGGUAGCACCACAGUACUGGCAACAUCAAGGCUACUGAAAAAAAAUGAGGGCAACAAAAGAGACCAGAAAAUCUCUCUGCUGAUUAAUACAUAAAGGAUCAUAUGUUGACAAAAGAACUGGAAGUAAUUUUAGAGAUCAUUUAUUAAAAUGCUUCCUGGUAAAAAAUGAGGAAACUAUGGUCCAGAGAGAUCAAAGGAAUUUAUUCAGGUUUAACACCUACAUAGUGGCAGACUUAGAAUUAAAGCCCAGUUCUAUGUCACCCAGUCCAGUGCCCAUGCUAUUGCCAGGGUAACUUCUAAGUCAAUCUCUUUCUGUCUCUCUCUGUCUCUGUCUCUGUCUCUGUCUGUCUCUCUGUCUCUGUCUCUGUCUCUGUCUCUGUCUCUGUCUUUGUCUCUGUCUGUCUGUCUGUCUGUCUGUCUGUCUGUCUGUCUCUCUCUCUCUCUUCAACAGGAAAAGUACAAUUACUAAGGAGUAGCUUGGUUCUUUUUUGCUAUUGCUUAGCUGAGUUCAGUUGUGUCUAAUUCUGCAUGAUCCCUUCUGGGGUUUUCUUAGGAAAAAUACUAGAAUGAUGGCCAUUUCCUUCUCUACUCAUUUUAUAGAUGAGGAAACUGAGGUACACAGGAUUAGGUGAU
rnacentral:lncRNA from 1 species